GAUAUUUUCCUCCGUAGGAAGGUGAAAUUUAGGGUCACCCUAUUAAUGGCCUGAUUAGAUCCCAGGCCUCUCAGCCACUUGGGAUAAAAGAAUAUAAAGGCUAACUACAGCAUUCUGGGGGCGGGAGGGGGGGAAAUCCCAUGAGCAAUUCAGUAUAAAAAACAGCUCAGCUCCUAAAACCUGGGGCCUGCACUGUCUGUUUUGCAUAGCACCGCACACGAUGGAAGAGCUUGCCCGGUCGUAAUAGAAGACAUCCUUGUCUGGUCCAGAGAAGUUCUUGCCGUAUUCCAUCGUGACAACAAAGAGGCCGUGCUGAGCUUCCCGCCCCGUGAGGGUCUCCAGCUCGGCCAGCAUCUUGAUGGGGUAUUCCUCCAGAAGGACGACGUCGGCCAGCACGCUGAACAUCUGGUACAAACCCGAGGCCUCAUUCACUCGGCGGAUGAUGGUGUUGGAGAACUAUGAAGGCACCAGCAGCUUUUACUGAGCACCCAUCACACGUCUUACCUGGUCCUACAAGCCAGGGUGUGUUGGGCAGGUGGAGAGAGAGCUGGCAGAAGGCCUCCCAAGCACAGUCCCAUCACAGAGCCGGCACAUCCCAAGCCAAGCUCAUCAUCUUUCCCCCACACUCACCAAGCUCCCCCUUCCCCAGUCUCCCUUUCCCUCAAUGCUCCCACUCUUCUUCCAGACAUCAGCUUUGACGUCUUUCCUCUCCUUUACCAUCUAUGUUCAAUCUGUCACUAAGUUCUGUCAAUUUUUCCUUUAAAAUAUCGGGCUGAUUUUUUCCCCCAUUUCAUUUAAAUAUAAUUUUAUCGCUAUUUUUUGUUUCCCUAUGGCUUAGGUUUCCCCUUGUAUCCCUUUCUCCUUCCUUCACUGGAAGUUACUACUUGUAAUAAAAAAUUUUUCAAAAAGGAAGAAAAAAGGAAAAAAGAUUCUCU